GUCAUGCUGGUUCCAGAUUCCAACUCUGUAGAAGGCAUGGUCGUCAACCCAGGUGCUGGUGAUGUAGUCGUCCUUCCUGUUGAGAAAGAUAGACAAAUUGUAUUGAAAACAAGCAAAAAGGAUACACGAGGCACUGCUUGUGCUGAUAUGAUGAGAUA